CCUACGGGAGUCAGCAGUGGGGAAUAUUGCGCAAUGGGCGAAAGCCUGACGCAGCGACGCCGCGUGAGGGAUGAAGGUCUUCGGAUCGUAAACCUCUGUCAGCAGGGAAGAACGGUCACUGUGCUAAUCAGCAGUGAAUUGACGGUACCUGCAAAGGAAGCACCGGCUAACUCCGUGCCAGCAGCCGCGGUAAUACGGGGGGUGCGAGCGUUAAUCGGAAUUACUGGGCGUAAAGCGCUCGUAGGCGGUAUGUCAAGUCAAGGGUGAAGGCCCCGCGCUCAACGUGGGAACUGCCUUUGAAACUGGCAAACUGGAGUGUGUGAGAGGAUAGUGGAAUUCCAGGUGUAGGAGUGAAAUCCGUAGAUAUCUGGAGGAACAUCAGUGGCGAAGGCGACUAUCUGGCACAUAACUGACGCUGAGGAGCGAAAGCGUGGGUAGCAAACAGGAUUAGAUACCCUAGUAGUC
rnacentral:rRNA from 1 species